rnacentral:lncRNA from 1 species
UUAGGGAUUUUGAGGUGAUUGUGGCCAUCCUAUAUCCCCAAAAAAACUCCGCGUGAAUUGUAAAAAGGGGGAGCAUGAGGAAUCGUGCAACCAUGGCAGUACAAACAAAAAAAAACACGAAGGAGGGGAGGACGGAACGCGCGAGCCAGCCAGACGAUUAGUUGAAGUGGCGACACAUGAAGAGAGAGGUUACGAGGGUGGUGUCCAAUAUCGCAAACAAUAAAGGGAAUUCAAGAAGACGCAAUUGAUAAUGAUGGAAUAUGAACGUCGUGGUUGGCUUAUCUUGCUGUCAUUAUAGUAGUCAUGGCCAUAGGUAGGCAGUACAACGGGCUACGUUGGACACAGUCCGACAACGGCCAGGGACAACUUUUCUCCUUCGACCUCUUUCCCCUUUUUUUUAAUUCAAAUAUUUUGUUAUAGUUAUUUCUUUUCCCUUUUUGUUUUGGGUAAGGUAUUGUUUUAGAGUUCAAUUGCUAUGUCUUAACAAUAUAAAAUAGUUUUAUACCCUCG